rnacentral:rRNA from 1 species
AGGCUACGAAGCUAUUCUGGGGGUUCACACCCCGGGAGGCAAGAAGGCCUCUGGGUUGUAAACCUCUUUUCUCAGGGAAGAAUAUCUGACGGUACUUGAUGAAUAAGCCACGGCUAAUUCCGUGCCCACAGCCCCGGUAAUACCGGAGUGGCAAGCGUUAUCCGGAAUUAUUGGGCGUAAAGCGUCCGCAGGCGGGCUUAAAAGUCUGCUGGUAAAACCUGGAGCUUAACUCCCUAAAUCCCGUGGAAACUGGUUGACUAGAAUGUGGUAGGGGCAAAGGGAAUUCCCGGUGUAACGGUGAAAUGCGUAAAUAUCGGGAAAAACACCAGUGGCGAAGGGGCUUUUGCUGGGCCUUUUCUGACCCUUAUGGACCAAAACCAGGGGAGCCAAAAGGGAUUAAAUACCCCCGUUUUUCAAA